UCAUGAUACGAUACACGAUACCAAAAACAUCGCGAUACAGCGAUUCUGCCAACAAUCCACAUAUUGCAAGACAAUCACAACACUUAUCCCGCUGUAAACGCUCUCUUCUUCCUCAGCUAGGUCACUUCCACCACAACUUUCCCCUCAUUUAUUUGAGCAGCGCCACCGUGAGGGGACAUGAAGUAAUGACACCCGGCAAGAGACACCGGCAGGUCCAACACGGCGACUGACGACCUGCAGCUGAGAAACCCAGAGGCUCAAGAAUGAGAGAAGCUUGUUUGUUGUGGCUUUAUUUAUCAGAUCUGGCGUGUAUAAAAACUUUACCAUUAAACUGUUUUAUUUUUA